CAAGAGAAAAGCUGUCUUUAUAUUAAAGUUUGAAUUUAACUUUUAAGUGAAAAGGCUUAAAUAUUCUAAAGGGACGAUAAGACCCUAUAAAACUUUACAUUAAUUGUUAAUAUUUUAUUUAAUUUUGUUUAUUACGAUUUAAAUUUAAUUUUUUGUUAUGUUGGGGAGACAAAAGCUAUAAUUUAUAUUAACUGCUUGAAGAAAAAUCAAUAAAAUUUAGUGACUUAUAUUUAUAGAUCCUUUAUAAAGAUUGAAAGAUUAAGUUACUUUAGGGAUAACAGCGUUAUUUUUUUUGAGAGUUCAUAU
rnacentral:rRNA from 1 species